rnacentral:tRNA from 1 species
GGGCGAUUAGCUCAGAUGGUAGAGCGCCUCGUUCACACCGAGGAGGUCACAGGAUCGAUGCCUGUAUCGCCCACCC